CGCGAAAGUGGAGCAAUCCAUGAGUAGAGUGGCGAACGGGUGAGUAACGCGUGGGUGACCUACCUUCGAGUGGGGGAUAACGUCCCGAAAGGGACGCUAAUACCGCAUGACAUCCUGUCCUUGAACGGACGGAGAUCAAAGCCGGGGAUCGCAAGACCUGGCGCUUGUUGAGGGGCCCGCGUCUGAUUAGCUAGUUGGUGAGGUAACGGCCCACCAAGGCGACGAUCAGUAUCCGGCCUGAGAGGGCGGACGGACACACUGGGACUGAGACACGGCCCAGACUCCUACGGGAGGCAGCAGUGGGGAAUUGUUCGCAAUGGGCGCAAGCCUGACGACGCAACGCCGCGUGGAGGAUGAAGGUCUUCGGAUUGUAAACUCCUGUUGCCAGGGACGAAAAGCUCCGACCUAACACGUCGGAGUCUGACGGUACCUGGUGAGGAAGCCCCGGCUAACUCUGUGCCAGCAGCCGCGGUAAUACAGAGGGGGCUAGCGUUGUUCGGAAUUACUGGGCGUAAAGGGCGCGUAGGCGGCCCGCUAAGUCGAACGUGAAAUCCCCGGGCUCAACCCGGGAACUGCGUCCGAUACUGGCAGGCUUGAAUCCGGGAGAAGGGAUGUGGAAUUCCCAGGUGUAGCGGUGAAUUGCGUAAAUUUCUGGAGGAACACCGGUGGCGAAGGCGGCAUCCUGGACCGGUAUUGACGCUGAGGCGCGAAAGCCAGGGGAGCAAACGGGAAUUAGAUACCCCGGUAGUCCUGGCCCUAAACAAUAAAG
rnacentral:rRNA from 1 species